AGCUCCAAUAGCGUAUAUUAAAGUUGUUGCAGUUAAAAAGCUCGUAGUUGGAUCUCAGGUCCCGGCUCGCGGUUCACUUCACGGUGCUUACUGCCCGUCCGGACCUACCCGCCGGUUUUCUCUUGGUGCUCUUCAUUGAGUGUCUCGGGUGGCCGGAACGUUUACUUUGAAAAAAUUAGAGUGUUCAAGGCAGGCGAUUCGCCUGAAUAAUGGUGCAUGGAAUAAUGGAAUAGGACCUCGGUUCUAUUUUGUUGGUUUUCGGAACUCGAGGUAAUGAUUAAGAGGGACAGACGGGGGCAUUCGUAUUACGGUGUUAGAGGUGAAAUUCUUGGAUCGCCGUAAGACGAACUACUGCGAAAGCAUUUGCCAAGAAUGUUUUCAUUA
rnacentral:rRNA from 1 species